rnacentral:lncRNA from 1 species
UGGAGGAGGACGCCAUGCCUGUAAACAAAUGGAAGCCAAUGGUUUGACAUGUUAGCAUGCAAAAGAGAUAACCAUAAGCAUUCACUCAGAAGCACACAACAGGCAAAGUGGAUCACAACAAUGUGGGGGAACCAAAGGAAAGAAGAAAGGAGGGAAAGAACACAUAAAAAUGAAAAAUGGUGGGUGCAGAGAGGGUGGCGCCAGGCGCCAAAUUUUCACGCUGGGCGUGAAAUCCUGCUGGAAGGCCAAAUUCAAAAAAUUCUGGUGCAGGGAAACUGGCGCCUGGCGCAAGCUAGGUCACGCUGGGCGUGAAAACCUGCUGUAAAGGCCAUUUUUUUUCAGUUUUCAGUGUAGAGAAAGUGGCGCCUGGCGCCAGGUUUUCACGCUGGGCGUGAGUGCUGCAGAAUUGUUGUGUAGGGCCAGAAACAGUCAUACCCAUCAUAGAGUGUUCAAAAAUCAGGUUCACAUGCAAUUUAGACAGUAACAACAGGGCAAAAAUGAAGUGAAGGCAGGAUCAAGUGUGUAUCCCAAAAACACAUAACACAAACACAAAAAAAACAAAACAAGAUAACCAUUGACUCAAUUUUUAAAAGCAAACUAUUCUUGGAACAACACACAAGAAUCAAUCACAAUAACAGCAAAUAAACAUUUGAGACAAAGCAAGGUAUGCCUACUUGAGUUGGAGUUGAUUGGAGGACGAAAUUGAAGAGUUGGACAAGUAAGAUGUUGCAGCAACACUUGCUAUCCCUAAUUGGCAAUUCACCAAACACGUGGUGGGCAGUGAAGGUUGAAGGAAAAUAAUGGGAUGUUUUGGUGGUUGGAGUGAGAUAGAAUGUGGUGACGUGAGUGGGUUGAAGGAAAUCUUUUAGAAAAGGGAAAAGAUGGUGGGUUUGGGGGAAGAAGAAAUUUGAGAGUGGAAAAGGGGAAAAUGUUAAAGAUGGGUGAGAAGGGAAGGGGAUUUAGUGUGGGAGUUGAUUGCAAAGAAGAGGAGAAUGAGUGGUUGUAGAGGAAUGAUGUGGUUUUGAGAGAAGGAGGGAGGUUGAGUGAGAGGGAGAGAGUGGGGUUGAGGAAGAGUGAGUUCGUGCAGAGUGAGAGGGUGGGUGGGGUGCAGGGUAGGGCUUAGGAAAAAUAGGAAAGUGCCAAAUAGGCCCAAUGCAGAUCAGCCCAAGUCAGACUCAAAGUCUGCACGUUCACGCUGGGCGUGAGGCAUUUCGCGCUGGGCGUGAAAUGCUGUUGUUUCCCACCAUUGCAGGAGAAUUUGCGCUGGGCGUGGGAUCUGUGCCGCCCAGCGCCAAUUAUGCAGAAUUGCUGCAGAACAGAAAAUUGGUCCAACACAACUUUGACUUUUGAUUUUAGAUAUUUCUAAACACUCAAUUCAGCCCAGAUCAAAGUGUUUCCACUAUCCAAACUUGUUCAAAUCAAUAGGGAGUGAAAUUGAGUGCUAGAACUCUAAAUCAAAUGUCCACUAAAAAGAUUUUUCAACCUUCCAACUCAAGAUUUGACUUUGACAACAAAAACACCUAAAACAUGCCUCAAUUUAACAAACUAAGCUUGAACAGGCACAACAUACCAGAAUGCACAUAAACAACUUUGGUUGAGCCUGAUCAUAGCAAGACCUCACAACACUCAACAUCCACCAAACUAACACAAAUUUCAAACAAAAGCACAAUUCCUACAACUAAUUUGACUAGGGACAAACAAAACAACUUCACACAAACAAAACAUAACAAAAUAAGAAACACACAAGAGAAGGGAUAGAAAACUGGGUUACCUCCCAGCAAGCGCUUGUUUAACGUCACGAGCCUGACACCGUUAUGCUCAAGGAUCAACUAACUCAACACUUGUGUUGAGGCGAUCAACGUCACCACCC